AUGAAGAACUGUGUUAAAGGGUCACAGCUUUAGGAAGUUGAGAAGCACUGCUGUAGAGAAAGGCUGCUUAGUGUCUUGCUCACUCUCUUUCUGUCUGUUUGUCAUCUUGAGUCUUUCGCAAGAUGAAGGAUGGAGCUCACUCUGGCUCAUGUCCUCGUGUCUUACUAACUUCCUUAUGCAGACUAGGACCAAUUGCCCAGAGAAGACUUCAAUCCUUGGUGAGCUGUGCUGCUGGGCCCUGCCCCAUCAAUUAUCAAUGGAGCUAAUUCCUUACGGGCAUGACAACAAGCCAGCUUGAUGGAAGCAAGUCUUCAGUUGAGGUUCCCUCUCCCCAAGUAGCUUUAGGUUAUGACAAGGUGGCAAGAAAACCUAACCAGUAAAGAUAGGAUUACUUAAGAAAACCACCUGGAUGGACCAGGAGGCAAAGCUGCUUAUUCAGCUGAGUUGGACUCUGUGAGCUGGAAGAAUCCCCAGUUGCACUAGGCAGCUCAUGUCCCUGACUUUCCCAGAUCACUAAGGUAGAAGGUAAGCCCUCCCACCUCGUUAUGUUCAUUGGGGUCUUAUUUUUCCCCAGGUUACUGCUAUGGUAUGGCUACAGUUCGAGUAUAACCCUGUUACAUUUUGAAUAUGGACUGACCUCCGUAGGCUCGUGUGUUUGAAUACUUGCUCCCUAACUGUUUGUGCUAUUCAGGAAAGCGGUGGAACCUUUGGGGGACCGAGCCUUGAUGGAAGUAUACCUUCAGGUUUAAAAGCCGAGUCCCACUUUGUGUGUAGUCUCUGCUUCUUGCCCCUGUACACAGUGUGACCGGCUAUCUCGCACUGUCACUGUGUUAUGCCUCCCUCCUCAGGAUGGACUGUAUCCUUUCUUAAACUGUGAGCUAAAAUAAGCCAUUCCUCCUUUAAGUUACUUCUUGGUCCCACCAGUGAGAAAAGUAGUGUGGGAAGCUUGGGCUAGGAGUGCGGUUGCUGGUAUGAGGAAACUGAACAUGCCAUUCUCAGUAAGCCCUGGGAAAGGUUUGCAUGGCAGUGCAGGAUGAAAUUGGGACCGAGUCCUAGAAAAGCCUAGGCUGUUGUCAUCGGAGCUUAAUGGGGCAUUUUUGUAGGGUUUCAGAAGAUCAGAAUACUGACAGAAAUGUGUGCAAUGGAAGUCUAGUUCCUGAGACACCACUGGGGCCUGUGCUGGAGGCUAGAAUCUGGCUAGCAUCAUCAUUAGCUAAAUACUUAGAUUUUUAUAGCUCAUAUUAGUGUUCCCCAUUUUUAAACUUUGUGCAUAGGGGAAAAAGUUCAAGGUACCCAAAACGGGCUUGCAAAGAGGACUUCUAUGCGGAAGUUUCCUGUAUCUGCUCAACCCAGAAUGUCCCAUCAGGGUGCCUCCCUUGAAGAGUGAGUAGGGAAGGCUUUGGGGGCUUCUGAGGACGGUUCUGCUAUGUGUAGAAGAAUGCAUUACUGGGUAAGAGUCCUGAGCAUAGAAAAAGUUCUCACCCCAACCAGUACACCACAGGAACAACAGGCUGGACUCUGCUGCAAGGGACUCAAGAUGAAGAGAAUAGUUUUCCCAAAGAUGCCCAGCUCUGGAUGUGGUACUAGAUCCGGCUGCCACCUUUCACAGGACUUGACCCUGUGGGUGUGGAGGUUAUAAGAUUCCUGCCUCAACUCUUAGCUCUCCCAGACUGAUUCAGAGUGGAGUUGAAAUAACCUUGAAAGUAACUAUCUCUUGCCAAUGUACAGAGAUGGUAGCACAGGGUCUGUGUUGCCAAGCAGAAAGAGAAGAGGGCUGUGACCAAGACCCCCAGUACACAUUCCCAGCAGGCUUCCUUUAAAGUUUAUCUAAUUGUCCUCUCUCCUGGCCCUUGAGUAUGCAGGGAGGCACUGGAGAGCCUAUGGUCCUUGAGCUGCUUCAGGGAGAGGGUUGUCCAGAACACCAUAUAGGGAUUCACGUCCCAGGGAGUCUCUCAUGCCUGCGCUCCAGAGCUGCGCAGGAACCUGCCUUGUAAAUCGCACCACUUUCGUGGCCACGUUCUAGUGGAAAGUUCAUCUGGAUCUCAGCCUCGCGUGAAAUUGCAGAGCUGCCGCCGGAAAGCCAGACACCUUUGGGGACUUCCCGAGACAGCGGAGUCAGAAUUGAGUAAACUCAAGGGGCACAAUUGACACACGUUUUGGCGUGUGGAAGAAGCUGGAGUUUAGCUUGUUUUUAUUGCCUACUUUUUCAGUAUGCAAAACCCAGAGUGGCAUGGUACCUCAACAUGGCCAACGUCUUGACCCUUGUGACACUCGGCAGCUGACUUAUAUACAUGGAGAUAUGUGCAAAAAUGUGCUAAAUGUUAAAUAUGUGUCCCAUGUACAGUAGGUGCAGCCGAAGGUCGGCUUGUCUGCCUGGAGAUUCCUCUGAAGGGCAAUUUAAAAGUUGGAUUUGAGCAACAUCAAGUGAAAUGUCUUCCCAUCUCAUGCCGUGAGGAGCUCUUUGGUGUAGUUCAUGGCUGGCUAUGCAGGAAGAUGUUAACCCUUCCUUGGCAACAAACUGUCUUGCAGGCCAUGCUUGCUUGCUUCUUUCAGAGAGAACUCAAAAUAUCCCAGUCCUGGGAAGCUUCUCAGACCUGGAGGAGGAGCCUACUGCCUUGCUUACGAUUCAUGCCGAGACCCACUUGUCUCGACCUCGUUAGUGUCUGGGAGAAGGGGAGAACCUGGGUUAUGGGCAAAGCCAGUGGAAAUGAUAGAAAUCAAGGAAGGGUUCUAUUGACUGAGCCAGACAUUAGCCCAAGGUGUGGCGAUCAAUAUACUCACCUGUUUUGAAUGGUGCACAAGCCAGGGCUGCUAAAUCCUGCUGCCAGGCAGAGGUGGUGAGGGGCGUAGUGAUUUUGUUUGUUUUUUAGUUGCUGGAAUGGUUCAUUCUGAGAAAAGUGACCAGGCGGCUUCUGAUAGUGUCCAUUUAAAGAAAAACCAUUCACCCCAGGCAUUGUUGCUUGAUUUUGUAAUGUUGUAGAAAAGUAUUUUGUUGUUCGCAAGUCUAGGUCUCUGUGUUUUAUUCUUAAUAGAAGAGGAAGGCCAAGUGCUUUGGGGCCUCAGACCUCCUUGGUACCACGGGAGCUCAAGAUGACAUGGGGGGUGGGGGGGACAUUCCACCCCUUUUGCUUGUUUCUUUUUGUUUCUCUCUUGUACAAAAAGGGAAACAGUGACUUUGCUUUUAGCAUUGAAUGAUCUCAUCUCUACGCCAUCUCUAUAUUAAGUGAUCUCAUAUCAUAUAGGAAUUUGUUACUCAGCUGUGACAACCUGGCCUAAGACAGACAUGGCCCCCGUUGGAGGUAGGGGUGAGAGGAGAGUUUAGCUUUGCCUGUGCUGCAGUAAAGAGCAUGGUGCACAGAGCUGAGUGGGGGGAUGAGCAGAAGGCACAACUUACAUACCCUAUAGAUCCUAAGCACUCGAGGCUAUUUAAAAAUGGGUUAUAGAUGACUGCUUUCCUCCUAUUCACUUUUGUAGCUAUGAGAAAAAUACCCAGACCAAAAGUGACUUUGGGGGAUAAAGGGUUUAUGUGACUUAUAAUUUCAGGUUAGUCUAUCACUGAGGGGAAGUCAAGGCAGGCAGGAAUCAAGUAGCUAGUCACAAAACAUCUGUACCCUUGCUGUGUGCUUGAUCUCAGCGAAGGGUGGUCCCUCUUUCAUAGUGCUAGAUAGAACCUUUGUCUAGAGAAUAGAGCUGACCACAGUAGGCUGGCUCUUCACAUAUCAACAAUGAAGAAAAUACCCCACAGACACUCUCACGCCAACCUGCCUUAGGCAAGCCUUCAUUUAGACUGUAAUUCUCUCUCAUUCUAGCUUGGGUUUGCGCGGACUGGUCAUGCUAACCAGCACAUUUGCAUGGAUGUUUUUAUGAACUGUGACAUUAUCUAAGGCCCUCCUGUUUGAAAUGGGAAAGUACAAGGAGAAUGAAGACAACUUACUUUCUUGUCAUGGACAUAACUUAUGGAGGCUUUAUUGGUCCUGCUUCGUCUUUUAUUGUCACAACUCACUAAAUUCUACCUCUGUGAGUAGACCCUUACGUGUGCAUUGUGGUGUGGUGGGCCUCUUUACACAACACAAAUGAAUUGGGUUUUUAAAUUUUUAUUUAAAUGUGUUUAUACAUUUAGAUUAUAUCCUUUUCUUCUCCCAACUCCUUCCAGGUUCUCCCCACCUCCCUAAACCCUCAUUUUUUUUCUCUUUCAAUAAAGACAAACA